rnacentral:lncRNA from 1 species
UAGUUUUGAGUUAAGGACAAUGAUAACUUCAAAUGGCAUUUUAUGCAUAGGAAGUAGCAUAAUAUGUUUCACUUUUCACAUAUUUUUCUAUCUAGGCUUAUAACUAACAAAUAUUCAAUUUGAUAUCAUCCAGAUAAAGGGAGCUUGUCAACAACACAGAGGCCCUCAUCAGUUGAAUCCUCCUCUCACAGUAAUGGAACCUUGCUUUGAAUAGAAUUACUACUGCCCUGUGUAUUUAGUUAAACUUUUCUAACCGACACAUGCUUUUCUAGGUGAUUCUGCAAUCAAUUAUUCCACCUGAUACUCAAUGCACAAUACAGAAAGCAUGGAUGAUGGUUGCACCACCCUAUGGGAAUGACUUUUUGCUUGUGAAGAGUGACCCGACUUUUGUUUCAUGUAUGUAUUAUACAUUCUGUGAUGAUGGUGGAUAAGCCUGCUAAAUUUUCAACUGGCCUUGCCUUACUUUCAGUGCCUACAGCCACCUAUAUUGCAGAAUUUACAGCAUGUUAGGAUCAGCUUAUUUUUCUUCAGAAUCAAUUUUGACAUCCAGAAGCUACUCACAGAAAAAUUCUCCCUAGAAUUGAUAAGCUUCUUCCUAGAAUUGAUUUUGGGUGUAGAAUUAAUUGUAGAAAGAUUUUCAAACAUGCACUUAGUGUACAGAGAUAUUUGUGUACCUUGAGGAUUGGUUCACUUGCAGCUCUGCUGGUAGUCAUAUAUGUGAAAGUUUUGAAGCCAAACAGGUAUUUCUAAACUUGUCACUCUGUCACCUUAGAAGAUAUGUGCCAUCACCUGUGGCAAAUUCUGACCCUUUUCCUGAAUGCAGUUCAGUUUGUUAUGAUUAUGAUAAUGUAAUGUUGACACAACACAAAAUCUGAGUGACUGAGUGGUAUCAAUGGCAACUUUGUUCUGAUUUAUGAAUUUUUAUUUUCUGGUUUUUACAUGAAAGUUGAAAUAUAUCCACGUCAAGUUUUAUUGGAUUCAUCAGACUCAUUCGAUGUUUGCUGCACUUUUUAAAUUUUACAUGGAAACCACACUAAUCCUCAGCUUCGCGGCUAAAUAGAACAAGUUAUCCUAUCCUUUUUAAAUUUUCGUAUUAGGC